rnacentral:rRNA from 1 species
GACGUAGGGGGCCAGCGUUGUUCGGAAUUACUGGGUGUAAAGGGUUCGUAGGCGGUGUGGCAAGUCGGGCGUGAAAUCUCUGGGCUCAACUCAGAGACUGCUUCCGAAACUGCUGUGCUGGAGUGUGGGAGAGGCGCGUGGAAUUGCAGGUGUAGCGGUGAAAUGCGUAGAGAUCGGAAAGAACACCAACGGCGAAAGCACUCUGCUGGGCCGACACUGACACUGAGAGACGAAAGCUAGGGGAGCGAAUGGG